GCCCUUCACUUACCUUCGUCUCUUCUGUCAACAGUUACUCUCCCGGAAGAUUCACUCCACCUCAGCCGUAUCAAGAUUGGAUCAGCUCAUUCUCUCCCACCUACUCACCUCCACUGCCUGCUUCGUCACCUGGAUUCUCCUGCAAUCACAUUUAAUUCUGUAAAUAAAUACUCACCUUAUCUCAACUCACCUUGUCCUGGUCUGCUUCUGGGUUCAGCCCGAGAGAAUCGUGACCCUUCUGUUAAUGUAAAUUAUGUUUUAGAUGGCUUGUGUCAGCCGCCCGUCUAUAUAUCAAAGCUAACCACACUUCCAAGGACAGCCUGGAGGGACAGGAGAGCAUCACCUUCGCAUUGAGCCCCACCAUACUGACCCUUGGCUGCCGUGUGGCUGCACAGUCCACUUCUCUUGGAUUCACAAGCCUUCUUGAUGGUGGACUCAAUUACUGCAACCUCUACAACCUGCUGUCAGCGAGCAGCCUACUCUCAGAACCGGGCUUCAUGGAGAUGACCAAUGAAUGGGCUUGCCUGGGCUACGGACUCGCCACCUGUAAAGCCUAACUAUUGAAAUUACUUCACCUCAUCAUUUUAUGAUUGUGUUACAUUUGAAUUAGAAACUGUUUCCCUCUUAGACCCAUGUAGGCCCAAAUCUGACUAAUACUUGGUACCCUUGCCUAUAAACUGAAAAAAAAACCACAAUAAAAAGUAGCAAUUUCCUUAUGCUCUCCGUAUAUGUGCAUGUGUAUUUUUCCAUCUUGCAAAUGGGCAUGGAGAGCCCCAGCUCGUCACAUCAAAGUCUCAGAAUGCCACCAGUCCAAAUGACUAUACUUCCUACUCUACAAUCUAAUUAAUGGUAUGAGAUAAUGUUUUUAUACAUACUUAUAGCAGUUUCAGAAAUAACUCUGAAAGCUGUUGUGUUAACUAAUGUGUGUUUGUUCACUUUUCUGUCUGUUUGUACUCAAAAAGAAAGUUAAAUGACUUAUGCAAACGGCUACAGAGAUUUGCAAUGAGAUGAUGGGCCCCACAAAAAAAUCAGCAACAUGCAACAAUGAAAAAUAGGUCCUGCAUGCUGA